rnacentral:rRNA from 1 species
UACGGGGGGGGGCAAGCGUUGUUCGGAAUUACUGGGCGUAAAGGGCUCGUAGGUGGCCAACUAAGUCAGACGUGAAAUCCCUCGGCUUAACCGGGGAACUGCGUCUGAUACUGGAUGGCUUGAGUUCGGGAGAGGGAUGCGGAAUUCCAGGUGUAGCGGUGAAAUUCGUAGAUAUCGGGAGGAACACCAGUGGCGAAGGCGGCGACCUGGGCCAAGAUUGACGCUGAGGUGCGAAAGCGUGGGGAGCAAACAGG